ACUGAACGCUGGCGGCAUGCCUUACACAUGCAAGUCGAACGGCAGCACGGGAGCAAUCCUGGUGGCGAGUGGCGAACGGGUGAGUAAUGUAUCGGAACGUGCCCAGUCGUGGGGGAUAACGUAGCGAAAGCUACGCUAAUACCGCAUACGAUCUAUGGAUGAAAGCGGGGGAUCGCAAGACCUCGCGCGAUUGGAGCGGCCGAUAUCAGAUUAGGUAGUUGGUGGGGUAAAGGCUCACCAAGCCGACGAUCUGUAGCUGGUCUGAGAGGACGACCAGCCACACUGGGACUGAGACACGGCCCAGACUCCUACGGGAGGCAGCAGUGGGGAAUUUUGGACAAUGGGCGCAAGCCUGAUCCAGCAAUGCCGCGUGCAGGAUGAAGGCCUUCGGGUUGUAAACUGCUUUUGUACGGAACGAAACGGCGAGCUCUAAUACAGUUUGCUAAUGACGGUACCGUAAGAAUAAGCACCGGCUAACUACGUGCCAGCCGCCGCGGUAA
rnacentral:rRNA from 1 species